rnacentral:rRNA from 1 species
GACGAACGCUGGCGGCGUGCUUAACACAUGCCAGUCGAACGGAAAGGCCCUGCUUUUGUGGGGUGCUCGAGUGGCGAACGGGUGAGUAACACGUGAGUAACCUGCCCUUGACUUUGGGAUAACUUCAGGAAACUGGGGCUAAUACCGGAUAGGAGCUCCUGCUGCAUGGUGGGGGUUGGAAAGUUUCGGCGGUUGGGGAUGGACUCGCGGCUUAUCAGCUUGUUGGUGGGGUAGUGGCUUACCAAGGCUUUGACGGGUAGCCGGCCUGAGAGGGUGACCGGCCACAUUGGGACUGAGAUACGGCCCAGACUCCUACGGGAGGCAGCAGUGGGGAAUAUUGCACAAUGGGCGGAAGCAUGAUGCAGCAACGCCGCGUGCGGGAUGACGGCCUUCGGGUUGUAAACCGCUUUCGCCUGUGACGAAGCGUGAGUGACGGUAAUGGGUAAAGAAGCACCGGCUAACUACGUG